rnacentral:rRNA from 1 species
UACAGAGGGUGCGAGCGUUAAUCGGAAUUACUGGGCGUAAAGCGUGCGUAGACGGUAGCGUAAGUCGGGUGUGAAAGCCCCGGGCUCAACCUGGGAAUUGCAUUCGAGACUGCGCUGCUGGGGUGCGGAAGAGGGAAGCGGAAUUUCCGGUGUAGCGGUGAAAUGCGUAGAUAUCGGAAGGAACAUCAGUGGCGAAAGCGGCUUCCUGGUCCAGCACCGACGUUCAGGCACGAAAGCGUGGGGAGCAAACAGG